UUGGGCACUUUAAGGGGACUGCCGGUGAUAAGCCGAGAGGAAGGUGGGGAUGACGUCAAGUCCUCAUGGCCCUUACGGGCUGGGCUACACACGUGCUACAAUGGUGGUGACAGUGGGCAGCGAGACAGCGAUGUCGAGCUAAUCUCCAAAAGCCAUCUCAGUUCGGAUUGCACUCUGCAACUCGAGUGCAUGAAGUUGGAAUCGCUAGUAAUCGCAGAUCAGCAUGCUGCGGUGAAUACGUUCCCGGGC
rnacentral:rRNA from 1 species